GCUUUUCCCGACGAGCUGGCUGCGCUGAAAACGGGCCGGCAGCUCCCGCGAGGCAGCAAGCUCAUCACUCUCCGACCGUUCCUGGACAGCAGUGGAGUGAUCAGGGUGGGCGGCCGACUACGUCACGCCGACUCUCUGACUCAUACCGCUCGACAUCAAGCCAUCCUGCCGUCACGUCAUGACGUCACAAGGCUCAUCGUCUCCGACUACCAUGGUCGUAUGGCCCACGUCGGCACAGAACAUGUGCUGAGUCGUCUGCGAGAGGCCUACUGGAUUCUGCGCGGCAGAGCGGCGGUGAAGGCGUACGCCUUCUCAUGCCCUGUCUGUAAACAGCGCCGCGCUGUACCCCGCCCACCUGUCAUGGCCGACCUGCCGGAAGCCCGUGUGACGUCACACUGUCCGCCGUUCACUCAGGUCGGAGUGGACUACUUCGGUCCCUUAACCGUGACCAAGCUCCGCCGUCACGAAAAACGCUACGGGUGUCUGUUUACCUGUAUGGCCACGAGAGCAGUGCACAUCGAAAUCGCCCACUCUCUCGAUACGGACUCGCUGCUGAUGUGCCUGAGGCGGAUGAUCGCGAGACGCGGACACCCAAAGGUCAUCCACUCAGACAACGGCACAAACAUGCGCGGUGGUGACAGGGAGCUCAGAAACUCCAUCCGGCAGUGGAACCAGCUGCAGAUAGCUGACGAGCUGUCACAGCGGCAGAUCGAGUGGAGAUUCAUCCCACCGGCGUCACCCCACUUCGGCGGCGCGUGGGAGCGGCUCGUCCGAUCAGUGAAAACUGUCCUUCGGUCCGUCGUGGGCCAGCAGGUACUCACUGAUGAAACUCUGCAGACGUUCAUGGCCGAGGUGGAGGCGCUGCUGAACAGCCGCCCACUAACCCACGUCAGCAGCGAACCGGACGACCUGGAGGCGCUGACUCCGAACCACCUGCUGCUGGGACGAGCUAGCCCCAAUCUGCCGCCGGGCGUCUUCUCCGAGACCGAUCUGUCGUCUCGGAAACGAUGGCGACACGGGCAGCGACUCGCCGACGAGUUUUGGCGCCGCUGGCGCCGCGAGUACCUGCCCACCCUGACGGCCCGGCGGAAAUGGACGACAGAGGAGGGGAACCUCAAACCCGGCGAGCUGGUUCUCGUGGCUGAGGAUAACGCUCCUCGCGGCAUGUGGGCUCUGGCCCGCGUAUUGCGGCCGAUCGUCGGCACAGACGGCCGUGUGCGCGCUGCGGUCGUCAAGACCGCUUGCGGGGAGCUGACCAGACCCGUUACUCGCCUAUGCGUUCUGGAGCGAUCAAAAUAAUCCAUGCAUAGCAGCAACAUGCGUUCCAUGUACCUGUAAAUAUGUAUAUAGUCGUUUCGCCGGUGUUCCUAUUGAGAUUUCGCUGGCAAAAUCUGGGCCGGCUAUGUUACCGACGAAACCGGUCCGUGGUGCUACCGGUCCGAGCGGCGGCCACGCCCCAGACAACUGUUACUUUUUACUUGUUUGUGUUUUUACUCUGCGCUUUUACUCGGCGCUAGAGGCACUUCUAAUGACUUUUGCUUUCGUUUCCUGACCUGUAUACUGUGCUUUCGCUUUCACCCGUCCGUUAAAAGCCGGCGGCUGUGCGUGUGAUAGCAGUGCAACGACGGGACCCGAACGAGGCGCACGUAUGAUAUAAAGAAGAGUUGUUAAUUCACUGCCAUAGCCACGGCUAUAUUGAACUCUUAACUUAAAACCUUGAUUGAUUUUGAAGACUAGAGGUCACCAAGUGAGAAUU